UACGGGGGGGGCAAGCGUUGUUCGGAAUUACUGGGCGUAAAGGGCUCGUAGGCGGCCAACUAAGUCAGACGUGAAAUCCCUCGGCUUAACCGGGGAACUGCGUCUGAUACUGGAUGGCUUGAGUUCGGGAGAGGGAUGCGGAAUUCCAGGUGUAGCGGUGAAAUGCGUAGAUAUCUGGAGGAACACCGGUGGCGAAGGUGGCAUCCUGGACCGACACUGACGCUGAGGAGCGAAAGCCAGGGGAGCAAACGGG
rnacentral:rRNA from 1 species